UACGGAGGGUGCGAGCGUUGUCCGGAAUCAUUGGGCGUAAAGGGCGCGUAGGUGGCCCGGUCAGUUCGUGGUGAAAGCGCGGGGCUCAACCCUGCGUCGGCCAUGAAUACUGCCGCGGCUGGAGCACUGUAGAGGCAGGCGGAAUUCCGGGUGUAGCGGUGGAAUGCGUAGAGAUCCGGAAGAACACCGGUGGCGAAGGCGGUCUCCUGGGGCAUUCUUGACGCUGAGGCGCGAAAGCUGGGGGAGCAAACGGG
rnacentral:rRNA from 1 species